rnacentral:misc_RNA from 1 species
GAUGAAGAACGUAGCGAAAUGCGAUAAGUAAUGUGAAUUGCAGAAUUCAGUGAAUCAUCGAAUCUUUGAACGCACAUUGCGCCCCCCAGUAUUCUGGCGGGCAUGCCUGUCUGAGCGUCAUUUCAACCCUCAUGCCCCUAGGGCGUGGUGUUGGGGAUCGGCCAAAGCCCGCGAGGGACGGCCGGCCCCUAAAUCUAGUGGCGGACCCGUCGUGGCCUCCUCUGCGAAGUAGUGAUAUUCCGCAUCGGAGAGCGAUGAGCCCCUGCCGUUAAACCCCCAACUUUCCAAGGUUGACCUCAGAUCAGGUAGGAAUACCCGCUGAACUUAAGCAUAUCAAUAAGCGGAGGA